GUGUCCAGUGCUCUUGCUAUCACGUUGUUCAUUGUCAUUUCAUAAAUUGGUCUUUUGCCUUGAUUAGUGUACAUCCACCCUUCCUUCCCAAAGCAGGUCUCUUCCUGGGACAAGACCCUGCACUGAGAUGGAUGGUGCCCAGAAAAAUGAUGCUACCCAGGGAACCCCAAGACGGCAAGAACAGCCUUCCCUACCUGUCUUUAUUCUGGCUUCAGAAAGAGCCAGGAUGGGGCUUCUAACCCUAGUGAUUAAGAAUCCACCUUGCAAUGCAAGGGACACUGGUUCAAUCUCUGAUCUGAGAAGACCCCACAUGCCUCAAGGCAACUAAGCCCUGGGCCGUGUUGUAGCCACCUGUUCCGCAUUCCGGGGAAACAAACUCAGAAGGACAAUGCAGAGAGUGAUACUGGGCAUAUAGCUCAAAGUCCACAGUCUGGCCCGAGAUGGAGUCCUGCUUUCCAGAUGGAGCCUGUUUUGUUUCCCCCUUCAGCCAUCACUACUGAGCCCACUAACCUAGAGCCUGUGCUCUGCAGUAAGGGAAGCUGCCACAGUGAGAAGCUCACGCACCGCAACUAGAGAGUAGCCCUCUCACAGCAAGGAAAUGAAGAGCCAAGAUAUGGAAUUCAGAACAAAGGAUCCUCCACUCCCCUCCCACUUCUACCAUCUAUAGAAUCCUGGAGCUGGAGGAACCCCAC
ensembl:lncRNA